rnacentral:lncRNA from 1 species
AAAACUACCUUGACCAAAAAGUUUAACCUAAAGUGGGAAAGAUGGAACAAACAGAAGGAAGGAAGAACGAACGAACAGACAAACCGGAAAAUAUAAUGCCCAUAAAUGGGGCAAAAAAGUGUUUUCUCUACAGCCAUUUAACAAUAGUUUAUAGAUAUUUGGAAACUUGAAGUCACAAGAAAAUUGAUCAAUUCUUUCCAGGCUUCUGAAAACUUUGGGCCUAUUUGAUUGCUUUUAUCAAAGUGGGUGGGGUUAAUGUCAAAAGAACAAAGUGUAAAUCAUCUUUAUUUACCAACUCCACUAGAACCAUUGUAUCUAUAGCUGUCAAUGUCACUGCAGAUUGACUAUGUGUCGCUGUAAAGAAAUGACAAAUAUUUCUGCAUUUUCAGAAAGAUCUCACAAUGUAGACACCAACACCAAACACAAUACAACAAAAAUAAAU